rnacentral:rRNA from 1 species
UACGAAGGGGGCUAGCGUUGCUCGGAAUCACUGGGCGUAAAGGGUGCGUAGGCGGGUCUUUAAGUCAGGGGUGAAAUCCUGGAGCUCAACUCCAGAACUGCCUUUGAUACUGAAGAUCUUGAGUUCGGGAGAGGUGAGUGGAACUGCGAGUGUAGAGGUGAAAAUUCGUAGAUAUUCGCAAGAACACCAGUGGCGAAGGCGGCUCACUGGCCCGAUACUGACGCU